rnacentral:snRNA from 1 species
AUACUUACCUGGCAGGGGAGAUACCAUGAUCACAACGGUGGUUUUCCCAGGGCGAGGCUUAUCCAUUGCACUCUGGAUGUGCUGAUCCCUGCGAUUUCCCCAAAUGAGGGAAACUGGACUGCAUAAUUUGUGGUAGUCGGGGACUGUGUUUGCACUCUCCCCUG